rnacentral:misc_RNA from 1 species
CCCAUUUGGAUAGAAAUCCACGAACCAAGGACAACAUAAGAUACGAUCAAAUCAAAUCAAUUCCAAACAAACCCCACACCUGGAAUCAAUUUUUAGAAAACCAGCCCAUAGAAACUAACCUACAGACUCUCCAAUACCGCUUCAACAAACCACCCGUGGCAAAACCACUGCAUACCCAUCCCAACCUAAAUGUCUUUUUUCCAAUGUAAUUCAAAUUCUUUAUGUUAAAAGGUUGGACGAUGCAGGUUUUAUUUAUUUAACCAAUAAACAGAUGCAUGUGCCUUACUAUACGUCUGCUUGUUUCAGCAGGACUUUGUUGACUUGUAAGUGAUCUCUCUAACACCAUUUCUCUGUCCACUGCCUUUCUCCGUCUGCUUCUCAGUCUUCACUCUGAUCCCAGUAUAGUUUGUUCUUGUCUACAUCUUUCUUGCAUUUCACUUCUAUUUCCUUUCGCUCAUCUCUACACUCCUUUUGCUCUCUCUCUCUCUCUCAUCUGUUUCUCUAUUCUCUACUUCCAUUCAGUCAUAUUCUCAUUUUUCUUUGCUGUUAUCAUCAUUUCUUGUUCAAUUUUUCUUUUUUCCUGAGAGUUGAGUUUUUCUUUAAAAAAAAAAAAAAUCAAAAUGGUACUGGAUAUGUUUAUCUCCAUCUUCACCGAGAUCAUUAAAGAUCCCAUCAUGCAAUUCGUUGUCGUUCCUAUCAAACGACACAUUAGUUAUCCUUUCACCUACAAGACCAAGGUUGAGAGGCUCCAGGAUGAGGCUCAGCAAUUGAACAGCAAAAGAGACAGGUUGCAGCAAUCAGUUGCUGAUGCUUCAAGAAGAGGGGAGGAGAUCUACGAUGACGUCAGCAAGUGGCUUAUCAGUGCGGGAAAAGUUAUUCGAGAAGCCGAGCAACUUAUCCAAGCCAAAGAACAAGCGAAGGAGAGGUGCUUCAUUGGUUUGUGUCCCAAUUUGAAGACGCGCUACCACCUCAGCAAGAAAGCAGAAAAGAAAGCUUCGUUGAUUGGUAAGCUUCGGAAUCAGGAUGGACUUGAACCAAUUUCCCACCCUCAACCUCCAAAGCAGAAAGUGGCCCCAUCUGUAUAUGAUCGUGAGGAACUGCCUUCGAGGGUGUCAAUUUUGAAGGAAAUAAUGGAUUCGCUGAGAGAUCCUAAUCUUAACAUGAUCGGAGUGUAUGGAAUGGGAGGUGUGGGGAAGACCACCCUAGCAAAAGAGGUCCACAGGCAAGCUAUAGAAGAGAAGCUAUUCGACGAGGUGGUUAUGGUUGCAGUGAAUCAAACACCAGAACUCCGAAGAAUUCAAUCGGAGGUAGCUGAUGUCCUGGGCCUGGCAUUUGAUGUGGAGGGAAUACCUCGAAGAGCUAAUCAACUAUAUGAGAGGUUGAAGAAAGAGAAGAAGGUACUUAUAAUUCUAGAUGAUAUUUGGAAACAACUUGAUUUAAAGGCAGUAGGAAUUCCAUUUGGGGAUGUCUGCAGAGGAUGCAAAAUACUUUUAACCUCAAGGAGCCAAGAUGUAUUAUCUCGUGAGAUGCGCACACAAAAAGAAUUCAGGCUUGACGUUCUGCAGGACGAAGAGGCGUGGAGUCUGUUUGAAAUGACUCUGGCAGAUGCUAAAGAUUCAGAAUUGCCUCCCAUAGCCGCAGAAGUUGCUAAAAAAUGUGCAGGAUUGCCUCUUCUAUUACUCACAGUGGCGACAGACUUGCGAAAUAGAGAGUCAUACGCAUGGAAUGAUAAGCUGAAGCAGCUAUCUGUGUUUGACAAUGAAGAAAUAUAUGCAAAAGUACACUCAGUUCUGGAGUCAAGCUACAAUGAUUUGCCUGGUAAUGAAGUCAAGUCGUUUUUCUUACUUUGUGGUCUGUUAGGACUAUCUAAUAUUCCAAUCCGGUCCUUGCUGAAGUACGUCAUGGGUCUAAGUUUAUUCAAGCACAUUUCUACUGUCAAAGAAGCAAGAAACAAAGUUUAUACUUUGAUUGAUACCCUCAAAGCAAAAUGCUUAUUGAUAGACGGUGAUAAGUAUGGAUUUGUGAAAAUACAUGAUGUUGUUCGAGACACUGCUUUAUCGAUUGCAUCUAGAGAGCAACAUGCGUUUAUAGGUACAAGCGGCAGUGAGUUGAUGGAAUGGCCAAACAAGGAUUCCGCCAGAAUUUCUCUGCCUUAUUGUGAUAUUGAAGAUCUCCCUGAAGGGUGGGAGUGCCCAAAAGCAGAGCUACUAUUACUUUUCACUGAAGUUCUUUCUUUGGGAAUCCCAGACCUAUUUUUCAAGGGGAUUAGAAACCUCGAAGUAGUGGAUUUUACUGGGAUGCGUUUUGUGUCCCUUCCUUCUUCACUUGCUUUCCUAUCCAACCUUCAUACCCUUUGCUUGCAUCGAUGCCAACUGGAUGACAUAGCUAUCAUCGGAGUCUUGAAGCAACUACGAGUCCUUAGUUUUGCAAACUCCUACAUUGUUGAGUUGCCCAGACAAAUAGAGGAACUGACUCGACUAAAAUUGUUAGAUGUGAGCGAUUGUUCCAAACUCAAAAUGAUUCCUGCAAGUGCCUUAUCAAAGCUGUCCCAGCUAGAAGCACUGUAUAUGAGUAACAGCUUUGAUCGGUGGGAGGCCGAUGGGAUUAGAAAUCAAGGCAAUGCAAGCCUUGCUGAGUUGGAAGGGUUGUCUCACCUUAGAACUCUGGAAAUACAAGUUGUAGAUGCGAAGAUAAUACCAAAAGCCCUGUUCUUCAAUGGGUUGCAGAGGUAUAGAAUACUCAUAGGAGAUGUAUGGGGCUGGCAUGGAAACUUUGAAACUUCAAGAACUCUAAAACUCAAGCUCAAGACAAGUAGUUACUUGGAGCAUGGGAUUAGAGUGUUGUUGAGGGAGACUGAAGAUCUGUAUUUGGAUGAAGUGAGGGGUAUUGAAAAUGUAUUGUAUGAUAUUGAUGGAGAAGGCUUUCCACGGUUGAAGCACUUCCACUUCCAAAAUGAUGUUUUGAUUCAACGCAUUAUCAGCUCACCAAAAUGGGCUCCAUAUCCUGCCUUUCCCAUCCUAGAGUCCUUGUUUUUAGAAAAUUUAAUGAACCUGGAGACAAUUUGUCACGGUCAACUUGCACGAGGUUCAUUUAGCAAAUUAAGAACCUUAGAAGUUGGAAAAUGCCAAAGAUUAGAAGCUAUGAUAAUAGAUGAAAGUGAAUACAACAAUGAAGUGGUUGAGUUCAAUCAACUGCGCUCCUUGAAGCUAAAUGAUUUACCAAACCUCAGAAGCUUUUGCUGGAAAAGGAAGGUGGCUACAGGAACAGAAGCAAGACAAAAGCAAUUGACAGCCUGUCCACUUGAGGAAAUUGUGUCGGAGGAUGAGCUUGGUGCUGAAUUAUCACUUUUCAACAGAAUGGUUUCUUUUCCCAACUUGGAGGAAUUGCAAUUAACCUCAGUUGCUUGUGAAAGGAUAUGGAACGACCAACUUUCCGCAACAUGUUCAAACUUAACGAGUUUGACUGUGAAAAAUUGCAACAAUUUGAAGCAUUUAUUCACAACUUCAAUUGUUAAAUGUCUUUUGCAGCUUAAAAAACUUGAAAUAAGCGAUUGUGAUUCCAUGGAAGAGAUAUUACUGACAGAGGAACUAGUAGAAGAAGAAGAGGAAGAGAGGAUAAAUAAGACAGCCUUCUCAAAACUGGAGAGCCUUCACCUUAGUGAUCUUCCACACUUGUCUAGAUUCUGCACUGGGUAUUCAAUUGAAUUUCAGUGCCUUCAAGAAUUAACAAUAUCUGAGUGCAGCGCAUUGGUGACUUUCGUCGCCAAAACAGAGACGAACCAUAACACUGAAAUUCAACCACUGUUUGAUGAAAUGGUUUCUUUCUCUAAAUUGGAGGUAUUGAGCAUCCAAAGUAUGAACAACUUGAAAAAUAUAUGGCACAACCAACUGGCAGCUGAUUCCUUCUGCAAACUGAAAUCAUUGUCAAUUAAUCGAUGCUACACACUAAUGACUGUUUUUCCAUUGGCUGUCUUGGAAAGAUUCCAGAGAUUAGAGAACUUGAAUUUAUCCUCUUGUGAUUCAGUGCAAGAGAUAUAUCAACUUCAAGGGUACAAUGUUAAAGAAGUAAAUGUUGCUGCAGCAUUUGAGCUAAGAGAUUUGCGUAUAGAUGGUUGUCACUCAUUGAAGCAUAUAUGGAGUAAGGAUCCACAAGGAGUUUUCACUUUUCAAAAUUUGAAAUCAGUUGAAGUUUCAAAUUGUGAUGUUCUAAAAAAUCUUUUUCCAGCCUCCAUAGCCGAGGGUCUUUUGCAACUUGAAAAGCUUUCAAUAAUAGAAUGUGGGGUUGAGGAGAUUGUUGCAAAGCCAGAAGAUGUGGAACCAGCCCCUUAUUACUGUUUUAAGUUCCCUCAAUUAACCUCCCUUAAACUUAUUGAACUAUCAGAACUGAGGAGUUUCUAUCCAGGGACACAUAUUUCUGAGUGGCAAAAAUUGAAAUGUUUGGAAGUUCGUAAUUGUCGCAAAGUAAGGAAAUUUGGUCUGGAAGAAGUACAUGAAGAGGGCCAACACAGCAUUCCAAUUCAACAGCCCCUUCUAUUGUUGGAAAAGAUGAGUCCCAACUUGGAGGAAUUGACUUUGGAGCACAAGGACUUGAUCGCGAUACAACAUGGUCAAUUUUCAUUUCAGCACUUUUCUAAACUCAAAGUUCUUACUUUGAGCAACUUGCAGAAUAGAUCACAACUUUUUCUUAUUGGUUUCCUUAAAACAUUACAUUAUGUGGAGACAAUUGUUGUAGAAUCUGGUAAUUUAGAAGAGCUGUUCUCAUGUGAAGGAUUUACAUUGGUGAAAAAUUUAAAGCUAUCCACUGUUGAUAAUUUGAAGCAGAUAUGGGACGAAGACUCCAGACUGAAACCAGUUCUUCAGCAUCUUGAGACUCUGAGUGUAAACGGUUGUAACAGUUUGACCAACAUAGUACCAUCGUCAUCAUCUUUCCCAAAUCUAGCAACUCUUGAAGUGAGUUACUGUGAAGGAUUGGUAAACUUGAUAACAGCGUCUACAGCCAAGACUAUGGUGCAACUAACCAAAAUGACAGUACAUAGUUGCAAUAAGAUGACAGAAAUAGUGACAAGCGAUGGAGAUGAUCAUACAGAGGAUGAGAUUAUUUUCAGCAAACUACAAAUUUUGGAACUUACUUAUCUGUCUAGUCUUAUCAGCUUUUGCUCAGGGAAUCACGCCUUCAAUUUCCCAUCUUUAGAAAAUUUUAAAGUUAAUGAAUGCUUACAGAUGAAGAUUUUCUCUUUCGGAGUUCUAAACACACCAAAGUUACGAGGAAUAGAAUUGGCAAAUCAACAGCACUGGGAGGGAAACCUUAAUGCAACCAUAGAAUCUAGCCUAUCGAUGACAUAUUUUCAAGCAUCUAAAUUCCCUGAGCUCUGGCAUGGUGGAAUCCAAGGGAGACUCUUCCACAAUGUACAAUCGCUUACAGUGGAUCAAUGUGCAAUUUCUGAUAUACCUGUACCAGCCAAUCUACUACAGUUCUUAAACAAGUUGGAAAAGCUUCAAGUAGAAUACUGUGAUUCAGCAGAAAUAGUAUUUGAUUUGGAAGGGCUAUCUGUUGAUGAUGGGCACACUGAGCUACUUCCCCAACUAAGUAAAUUGCACUUAGCAAAUCUGCCAAUGUUGAGACAUUUAUGGAACAAGGAUCCUCUGGGAAUUUUAGAAUUCAAUAACCUAAGGUUGCUCCAUGUUGAAAAUUGUAACAGCUUGAAGAAUAUAUUUACUUGGUCGACAGCGUUGUGCCUUAUGCAACUUGAAGAGAUUAAGUUAAGAAAAAUGUAACACAAUUGAAGAAAUUAUAGAAAAGGAGGGACCAGAGGAAGCAACUUCUUCCGCUGAUAAGAUGAUACUUCCUUCGUUGAAAUUCGUAGACCUUGAAUGUUUGCCUAAAUUUUCAAGUUUCUAUUCAGGAUCGAGUAAUUUGGAAUGUCUAUCAUUGAAAAAGUUGAGCAUAUAUGAAUGUCCAAGCAUGAAGAAUGUCUUUGGCACACUCGUGAGGUUACAUAGACCCAACACCAAUGAUGAAGGGAGAGAGCAAAGGCUAGACAAUGAAGGGUUUGAUACUCCCCUUACAACACCUUUUUGUCAUAAGAUGUUUCCCAUUUUGGAAGAGUUGUCAUUAGACAAGAAGUCUGCCAUAACCAUACUGCAAUCUCAAUUUCCAACUGACUUCUUUUCCCAAGUGAAAGUUCUUCAAUUGCGUUGCUUUCCAAACAAAUCUCUUGUUCCUUUGUUUAGUUUACUUCCAGGAUUUCCCAAUCUGCAAAAUCUUGUAGUCCUUGAUUCUUCUCUCAAGCAGCUAUUUCCAUUUGAAGGAUUCGUCGGUGACCAAGAAGAUAUCACUGCAUUGCCGCGGAUAAGGGCUUUAAAGCUUAAAAAAGUUGAUGAUUUGAAGCAUAUGUGGGAACCAGAUUGCCAACCGCAUAACCCAGUAUUUCAGUCUCUUGAGACUCUUGAGAUAGAGUCUUGUGGAAAUUUUAUUUUUUUAGCACCAUCCUCUACGUCUUUCCGAAGUCUGAAAACUCUGAAAGUAUGUAGAUGCGACACAUUGAUAAAUAUUGUUACAUCUUCCACAGCCAAAAGUAUGGUACAACUUGAGACAUUGACUGUAAAAUCCUGCAAUAUGUUGACCGAAAUAGUAGGAGGCGAUCAAGGGGUCGGAAUUGGAUCAACAGAUGAGAUUGUUUUCAGCAAAAUGAAAACAUUACAACUUGAAGAUUUACAGAGCCUCACAAGCUUCUGUUUGGGCAGUUACACUCUCAAAUUCCCAUCUUUGGAACAAGUAAUUGUGGAAAAUUGCCCCGAAAUGAUGAUAUUCUCUCCUGGAAGUUUGAGCACACCAAAUCUAAAGGGAAUACAGUCGUCAAAAAGUUCUUCUGAAUCAGAUUUACGUUGGGCGGGCAAUCUAAAUGACACCAUAGAACAGAUGUACAUGGAAAUGGUUGGAUUUCAAAGAUUUUUUGAGUUGAACCUCUCUGAAUUUCCACGGCUGAAAGAAAAUUGGCAUAGGCAUAGCCCACUUCCAUUUGAAUUACUCAUUCAUUUAGGAGAAUUGACGGUGGAAAACUGCGAACUUUUCUCAUGUGCUAUAUCAUCGAAUGUAGUGAAGUUUCUGAACAAAUUGACACACUUGAUUGUGAAAAAAUGCGACUUAAUAGAAGAAGUAUUUGAUUUGGAAGGCCAAAACGCUGAAGAUGGGAAAGUCGGGCUGAUGUCGCAGUUACAGACAUUGGAUUUAAUUGAUCUACCAAGGUUGAGGCAUUUAUGGAGCAUAGAUGCCCAAAGAAUUUUGUGCUUUCAAAAUCUAAAGUUUUUAGAAAUUCAUAACUGUGGCAACUUGACAAAUAUAUUUACUCUUUCGAUGGCUAUGGGGCUUGUAAGUCUACAUGAGAUGAAAAUAAAGGGGUGUGCUUUGGUAGAAGAAAUCAUCACAAAAGAAGAAGAGCAGGAAGAAGGCUGGAAUAAAACUAUCUUCCCUUCUUUAUCCCUCAUUGUUCUUAAGCGUUUGCCUAGCCUACAAUGUUUUUAUUCAGGAAGUGACGUUUUGGAAUGUCCGUCCUUGGAAGAUAUAUCUGUAGUUGACUGUCCAAAGAUGAAGAUACUUGCUUCCACAUUUUCAAGAGAACAAGAUUCAAGCAUGAAUGUAGAGGAAAACAAAGAAAGAAUUUGCGAAGGAGAUUCUGAUUUGCCUGCACCACACGUUUUCAAUGGCAAGGUUGCAGUCCAAAGGUUACACACACUGAGGGUGGCAUGGAGCGAGUUGAUGGAGAUAUGGUGUCACAAAUUUCAAUCUAAGUCCUUUCAUAAGCUUGGUUACAUUAAGCUGACGUGCUUUCCUGGCGAAAGUGCAAUUUUAUCAUCUGAUUUUUUUCAAAGGUUACCCAAUCUAAGGACACUUGCUCUUUCUGAUUCUUUAAUUGAAGAAAUAUUCCUGCACCAAGUGAGAACUGAUGAGCAUAGAUAUCUUGCGUUCCUAAAGCUUUCUAAACUACCAAAGCUCAAGCACUUGGCGGAGAAUGACUACUCGCAAACAAUCUCAGCAUUUCAAUUUUUGAAAGAUUUAAUAGUAGUAGAAUGUGGCGGGCUGAAAGUUUUAGUCCCAUCCUCAAUAUCUUUCCCAAAUCUGACAACUCUAACAAUAUCAAAAUGUCAUGGAUUAGUAAAUUUGAUGCCUCUGUCAACAGCUAGAAGUCUGGGGCAACUCCAAAGAAUGAGUGUAUACGAAUGCGAAAUGCUACAACAAAUAGUAGCGAGUGAGGGAGAUGGAGUAGAAGACGAGAUUUGUUUCAGUAUACUACAAUAUUUGAAUCUUGAUCGUUUACCAUGCCUCGCAAGCUUCUGCUCUGGUAAUCAUGCCUUCAAUUUCCCAUCUUUGGAAACAAUGAUUGUUACAGAAUGCCCCAAGAUGAAGUUUUUUGCUCAAGGAGUGUUAAGCACACCAAAGCUUCUACAAGUACAAAAAAAAUGGGGUCAUUUGGGGGAUAAUUGGCGUUGGGAAGGCAACCUUAACGACACAAUACAAGAGCUAUUCAUGGAAAUGGGUGAUAAAUAAAAAUGAGGGCAAGCUUUCUUUUGCAAAAAUUGGAUUGGAAUGAGGCUGAUGCUGCAGUUAGAUGCCUUUCGUUCGUGCAAUUGUUUCAUGGAUUUGAGAUUUAAAUAGCUAGAGGGCCAUAUGUUCAUGAAUUUCUACAGCCAUGUAUAUUUUUCCAAACUGUUGUGUUCCCACUUUCAGAGUGUAAUGUUUGGAUCUGUGAGGGAUUCUAUAGCGUAAAUAAUUGAGCAAGACGACUGAGUAAUCUGAAUAUAUUCACCAUGUGAAUCUUUGUAUGUAAUGAAUAAGGGUAAACACUAGAUAUGGAGUGCUUGAUUCAAAUUCUAGUAGUUUGAUUAAACCAUUUUCAUACGUUCAUAUUGGGAAUUAAAAAUGCCAAAUUUAUAGGCAAAAUUGUUUAAUUUUAAUAUUAUUUUAAUGAAUUCACUUUUG